AGAGUUUGAUCAUGGCUCAGAUUGAACGCUGGCGGCAGGCCUAACACAUGCAAGUCGAGCGCGAAAGGCUUUCGGGCUGAGUAGAGCGGCGGACGGGUGAGUAACGCGUAGGAAUCUACCUGGUAGUGGGGGACAACUUGGGGAAACUCAAGCUAAUACCGCAUACGCCCUAAGGGGGAAAGCGGGGGACCUUCGGCCUCGCGCUAUCAGAUGAGCCUGCGUAGGAUUAGCUAGUUGGUGAGGUAAAGGCUCACCAAGGCGACGAUCCUUAGCUGGUCUGAGAGGAUGAUCAGCCACACUGGGACUGAGACACGGCCCAGACUCCUACGGGAGGCAGCAGUGGGGAAUAUUGCGCAAUGGGGGCAACCCUGACGCAGCCAUGCCGCGUGUGUGAAGAAGGCCUUCGGGUUGUAAAGCACUUUAAGUGGGGAAGAAAAGUUGGUCGUUAAUAGCGGCCAGCCCUGACAUUACCCACAGAAUAAGCACCGGCUAACUCCGUGCCAGCAGCCGCGGUAAUACGGAGGGUGCGAGCGUUAAUCGGAAUUACUGGGCGUAAAGCGCGCGUAGGCGGUUUGUUAAGUCAGCUGUGAAAGCCCCGGGCUCAACCUGGGAACUGCAGUUGAUACUGGCCGACUGGAGUACGAGAGAGGGAGGUAGAAUUCCAUGUGUAGCGGUGAAAUGCGUAGAUAUAUGGAGGAACACCGGUGGCGAAGGCGGCCUCCUGGCUCGAUACUGACGCUGAGGUGCGAAAGCGUGGGGAUCAAACAGGAUUAGAUACCCUAGUAGUCC
rnacentral:rRNA from 1 species